CUUCNGAUGCUGACGAGUGGCGAACGGGUGAGUAAUACAUCGGAACGUGCCCGAUCGUGGGGGAUAACGGAGCGAAAGCUUUGCUAAUACCGCAUACGAUCUACGGAUGAAAGCAGGGGACCGCAAGGCCUUGCGCGGACGGAGCGGCCGAUGGCAGAUUAGGUAGUUGGUGGGAUAAAAGCUUACCAAGCCGACGAUCUGUAGCUGGUCUGAGAGGACGACCAGCCACACUGGGACUGAGACACGGCCCAGACUCCUACGGGAGGCAGCAGUGGGGAAUUUUGGACAAUGGGCGCAAGCCUGAUCCAGCCAUGCCGCGUGCAGGAUGAAGGCCUUCGGGUUGUAAACUGCUUUUGUACGGAACGAAAAGACUCCUUCUAAUAAAGGGGGUACAUGACGGUACCGUAAGAAUAAGCACCGGCUAACUACGUGCCAGCAGCCGCGGUAAUACGUAGGGUGCGAGCGUUAAUCGGAAUUACUGGGCGUAAAGCGUGCGCAGGCGGUUAUAUAAGACAGAUGUGAAAUCCCCGGGCUCAACCUGGGAACUGCAUUUGUGACUGUAUAGCUAGAGUACGGCAGAGGGGGAUGGAAUUCCGCGUGUANCANUGAAAUGCGUA
rnacentral:rRNA from 1 species